rnacentral:rRNA from 1 species
AGCUGAGGAAAAGAAACCAACAGGGAUUGCCUCAGUAACGGCGAGUGAAGCGGCAACAGCUCAAAUUUGAAAUCUGGCCUCUUGGGGUCCGAGUUGUAAUUUGUAGAGGAUGUUUCGGGUACCGCCUCGGUUUAAAUUUCUUGGAACAGAAUGUCAAAGAGGGUGAGAAUCCCGUCUUGGACCGGCGGUAGGGCCUAUGUGAAACUCCUUCGACGAGUCGAGUUGUUUGGGAAUGCAGCUCAAAAUGGGUGGUAAAUUUCAUCUAAAGCUAAAUAUUGGCCAGAGACCGAUAGCGCACAAGUAGAGUGAUCGAAAGAUGAAAAGCACUUUGAAAAGAGAGUUAAACAGUAUGUGAAAUUGUUGAAAGGGAAGCGCUUGCAACCAGACUUGAGCGCGGCGGUUCCCCCUUGCUUCUGCUUGGGUUACUCCGCCGUGUCCAGGCCAACAUCGGUUCUGGGGGUCGGUCAAAGGCUCUGGGAAUGUAUCUACCCACGGGUAGACUUAUAGACCAGGGUGUCAUGCGACCUCCCGGGACCGAGGAACGCGCUUCGGCUCGGAUGUUGGCGUAAUGGUUGUCAGCGACCCGUC